AGUCGAACGAAGCAUUUGCGACAGAUUUUUUCGGAAUGAAGUUGCUUAUGACUGAGUGGCGGACGGGUGAGUAACGCGUGGGUAACCUGCCUUGUACUGGGGGAUAGCAGCUGGAAACGGCUGGUAAUACCGCAUAAGCGCACAAUGUUGCAUGACAUGGUGUGAAAAACUCCGGUGGUAUAAGAUGGACCCGCGUCUGAUUAGCUAGUUGGUGAGAUAACAGCCCACCAAGGCGACGAUCAGUAGCCGACCUGAGAGGGUGACCGGCCACAUUGGGACUGAGACACGGCCCAGACUCCUACGGGAGGCAGCAGUGGGGAAUAUUGCACAAUGGAGGAAACUCUGAUGCAGCGACGCCGCGUGAGUGAAGAAGUAAUUCGUUAUGUAAAGCUCUAUCAGCAGGGAAGAUAGUGACGGUACCUGACUAAGAAGCUCCGGCUAAAUACGUGCCAGCAGCCGCGGUAAUACGUAUGGAGCAAGCGUUAUCCGGAUUUACUGGGUGUAAAGGGAGUGUAGGUGGCCAUGCAAGUCAGAAGUGAAAAUCCGGGGCUCAACCCCGGAACUGCUUUUGAAACUGUAAGGCUAGAGUGCAGGAGGGGUGAGUGGAAUUCCUAGUGUAGCGGUGAAAUGCGUAGAUAUUAGGAGGAACACCAGUGGCGAAGGCGGCUCACUGGACUGUAACUGACACUGAGGCUCGAAAGCGUGGGGAGCAAACAGGAUUAGAUA
rnacentral:rRNA from 1 species